AGUCACUGACAUUAGAUACCCGGGUAGUCCAGGGUGUAAACGCUGCAGACUUGGUGUUGGUAGCCCUUUGGGGGCAUUCAGUGCCGGAGAGAAGUUGUUAAGUCUGCUACUUGGGGAGUACGUCCGCAAGGAUGAAACUUAAAGGAAUUGGCGGGGGGAGCACCGCAACGGGAGGAGCGUGCGGUUUAAUUGGAUUCAACACCGUAAAACUCACCAGGGAAGACUGUUACAUGAAGGCCGAGAUGAAGACUCUGCUAGAUUUUCAG
rnacentral:rRNA from 1 species